AUUGAACGCUGGCGGCAGGCCUAACACAUGCAAGUCGAACGGUAGCACAGAGAGCUUGCUCUCGGGUGACGAGUGGCGGACGGGUGAGUAAUGUCUGGGAAACUGCCCGAUGGAGGGGGAUAACUACUGGAAACGGUAGCUAAUACCGCAUAACGUCGCAAGACCAAAGUGGGGGACCUUCGGGCCUCACACCAUCGGAUGUGCCCAGAUGGGAUUAGCUAGUAGGUGGGGUAAUGGCUCACCUAGGCGACGAUCCCUAGCUGGUCUGAGAGGAUGACCGGCCACACUGGAACUGAGACACGGUCCAGACUCCUACGGGAGGCAGCAGUGGGGAAUAUUGCACAAUGGGCGCAAGCCUGAUGCAGCCAUGCCGCGUGUAUGAAGAAGGCCUUCGGGUUGUAAAGUACUUUCAGCGGGGAGGAAGGCGGUGAAGUUAAUAACCGCAUUGAUUGACGUUACCCGCAGAAGAAGCACCGGCUAACUCCGUGCCAGCCGCCGCCGUAA
rnacentral:rRNA from 1 species